rnacentral:rRNA from 1 species
AAUAGAUACCCUGGUAGUCCACGCCGUAAACGAUGAGUGCUAAGUGUUAGGGGGUUUCCGCCCCUUAGUGCUGCAGCUAACGCAUUAAGCACUCCGCCUGGGGAGUACGGUCGCAAGACUGAAACUCAAAGGAAUUGACGGGGGGCCCGCACAAGCGGUGGAGCAUGUGGUUUAAUUCGAAGCAACGCGAAGAACCUUACCAGGUCUUGACAUCCCAUUGACCACUAUGGAGACAUAGUUUUCCCUUCGGGGACAACGGUGACAGGUGGUGCAUGGUUGUCGUCAGCUCGUGUCGUGAGAUGUUGGGUUAAGUCCCGCAACGAGCGCAACCCUUGUUCUUAGUUGCCAUCAUUUAGUUGGGCACUCUAAGGAGACUGCCGGUGACAAACCGGAGGAAGGUGGGGAUGACGUCAAAUCAUCAUGCCCCUUAUGACCUGGGCUACACACGUGCUACAAUGGACGGUACAAACGGUUGCCAACCCGCGAGGGGGAGCUAAUCCGAUAAAACCGUUCUCAGUUCGGAUUGUAGGCUGCAACUCGCCUACA